rnacentral:rRNA from 1 species
CAAGUCGAACGAGAAAGUGGAGCAAUCCAUGAGUAAAGUGGCGUACGGGUGAGUAACACGUGGAUAACCUGCUCUUUAGUGGGGAAUACCGCUGGGAAACCGGCGACAAUACCGCAUAAGCUCGAGAGAGGAAAGCAGCAAUGCGCUGGAGGAGGGGUCCGCGGUCGAUUAGCUAGUUGGUAGGGUAAUGGCCUACCAAGGCUGUGAUCGAUAGCCGGCCUGAGAGGGCACACGGCCACACUGGCACUGAAACACGGGCCAGACUCCUACGGGAGGCAGCAGUGGGGAAUCUUGCACAAUGGGGGAAACCCUGAUGCAGCGACGCCGCGUGAGCGAUGAAGCCCUUCGGGGUGUAAAGCUCUUUCGGCAGGGAAGAUUAUGACGGUACCUGCAGAAGCAGCUGCGGCUAACUACGUGCCAGCAGCCGCGGUAAUACGUAGGCAGCAAGCGUUGUUCGGAGUUACUGGGCGUAAAGGGUGCGUAGGCGGUUCUGUAAGUAUGGUGUGAAAUCUCCCGGCUUAACUGGGAGGGUGCGCUAUAAACUGCGGGGCUAGAGUGUGGGAGAGGAAAGUGGAAUUCCUGGUGUAGCGGUGAAAUGCGUAGAUAUCAGGAGGAACACCGGUGGUGUAAACGGCUUUCUGGACCAUAACUGACGCUGAAGCACGAAAGCGUGGGUAGCAAACAGGAUUAGAUACCCUGGUAGUCCACGCCCUAAACGACGCAUAUUUGGUGUGGGUCAUUCAGUUGUUCCGUGCCGGAGCUAACGCGUUAAAUAUGCCGCCUGGGGAGUACAGUCGCA